GAAGGGGUCAAUCCCACUCUUUUCAUAGUAAUCCAUUUUAACUAUGCUUUAGACCAAAGAAGAUGGGAGAGAUGAGAGAUGAUGAUGAGGGCUUAACCAAUUUUCUACUUGGAUCAUCACAUGUCUUUUUAAAGCCAGAUACUAGGCAUGCUUAAUUUAAUUAGCCUCAUGCAAGUUAGCAUUAACUUGGGAAUUAAAAACAUAUGAUUCAUUAAUGUUUUAUUCCCUUAUUUAACAUAUUUAUUGAGCAUCUAUGCAUGACAGACACUGUUCUAUAACAAAUGAUACAAACUGGAUUGACGGAAGAGAAGCUUCAGGCACGUCUCAGGCAAGCCUCCCUCUCAUGGAAGUUCCCAGGAAGCCCACCAUGUACGUGUCUGCACGUGUCUGUAGAAGAGGAGGAAAUAUUUUUCCGGGAGCCGGCUGAUUACACAAAGAACAAAGGAAUGAAAACCCUAAGUGCAGGGAGGGACGUUGUGCAUUGAUCAUUCUGGCUACUUCAUGCUGGAGAGGGCAUCAUAUGGGGGACAGCAGCUGGGAUUUCUCCUGUGAUCAAUCUAAGAGUCCUCUUAAGAAGAGCACAUCCAUGCGUGGUUCUAUUUGUAUCACUAUUUGGACCGUGAUAGGCUCUAGGCAAAAAGAAACAAUUUAGGUUAUAAGAGAACAAGUGUUAAAACAAGACUGGGGUUAAUGACGUUUUAAAAAUUCCGAGGCUGCUGACACAGUUGGAUAACUGAUUAUUGUAGUUAUGUCUGUUAAGAUUUGGGUGC